rnacentral:rRNA from 1 species
AGUGGCGGACGGGUGAGUAACACGUGGGAACGUACCUUUUGGUUCGGAACAACUCAGGGAAACUUGAGCUAAUACCGAAUGUACCCUUAGGGGGAAAGAUUUAUCGCCAUUAGAGCGGCCCGCGUUAGAUUAGCUUGUUGGUGAGGUAAAGGCUCACCAAGGCUACGAUCUAUAGCUGGUCUGAGAGGAUGAUCAGCCACACUGGGACUGAGACACGGCCCAGACUCCUACGGGAGGCAGCAGUGGGGAAUCUUGCGCAAUGGGCGAAAGCCUGACGCAGCCAUGCCGCGUGAAUGAUGAAGGUCUUAGGAUUGUAAAAUUCUUUCAGUAGGGACGAUAAUGACGGUACCUACAGAAGAAGCCCCGGCUAACUUCGUGCCAGCAGCCGCGGUAAUACGAAGGGGGCUAGCGUUGCUCGGAAUUACUGGGCGUAAGGGGAGCGUAGGCGGGUUAUCAAG